rnacentral:rRNA from 1 species
GAUGAACGCUGGCGGCGUGCCUAAUACAUGCAAGUCGAGCGAACAGACGAGGAGCUUGCUCCUCUGACGUUAGCGGCGGACGGGUGAGUAACACGUGGAUAACCUACCUAUAAGACUGGGAUAACUUCGGGAAACCGGAGCUAAUACCGGAUAAUAUAUUGAACCGCAUGGUUCAAUAGUGAAAGACGGUUUUGCUGUCACUUAUAGAUGGAUCCGCGCCGCAUUAGCUAGUUGGUAAGGUAACGGCUUACCAAGGCAACGAUGCGUAGCCGACCUGAGAGGGGGAUAGCCCACACUGGAACUGAGACACGGUCCAGACUCCUACGGGAGGCAGCAGUAGGGAAUCUUCCGCAAUGGGCGAAAGCCUGACGGAGCAACGCCGCGUGAGUGAUGAAGGUCUUCGGAUCGUAAAACUCUGUUAUUAGGGAAGAACAAAUGUGUAAGUAACUAUGCACGUCUUGACGGUACCUAAUCAGAAAGCCACGGCUAACUACGUG